CGAAGGGGACUAGCGUUGUUCGGAAUUACUGGGCGUAAAGCGCGCGCAGGCGGUUCUUCAAGUCAGAGGUGAAAGCCCAGAGCUCAACUCUGGAAUGGCCUUUGAGACUAGAGAACUAGGGUACGGGAGAGGUGAGUGGAAUUCCGAGUGUAGAGGUGAAAUUCGUAGAUAUUCGGAAGAACACCAGUGGCGAAGGCGGCUCACUGGCCCGUUACCGACGCUCAGGCGCGACAGCGUGGGGAGCAAACAGGAUUAGAUACCCUGGUAGUCCACGCCGUAAACGAUGGAUGCUAGCCGUUGGUAAGCAUGCUUAUCAGUGGCGCAGCUAACGCAUUAAGCGUCCCGCCUGGGGAGUACGGCCGCAAGGUUG
rnacentral:rRNA from 1 species